AAUAAAAAGAAGCCUCACACAACU
rnacentral:miRNA from 1 species